rnacentral:miRNA from 1 species
UACUGCAUCAGGAACUGAUU